rnacentral:rRNA from 1 species
AGCUCCAAUAGCGUAUAUUAAAGUUGUUGCGGUUAAAAAGCUCGUAGUCGAAUCUGUGUCCCGCGCCGCCGGUUCAUCGCUCGCGGUGUUCAACUGGCGAGCCGCGGGACGUCCUGCCGGUGGGCUUAGCUCGCGUUAGCGUGGGCGGCCCAACUUUAAAUCCCUCCGCGGUGCUCUUGACUGAGUGUCGAGGUGGGCCGGCACGUUUACUUUGAACAAAUUAGAGUGCUUAAAGCAGGCUAAAAUUUCGCCUGAAUAUUGUGUGCAUGGAAUAAUGGAAUAGGACCUCGGUUCUAUUUUGUUGGUUUUCGGAACCCCGAGGUAAUGAUUAAUAGGAACGGAUGGGGGCAUUCGUAUUGCGACGUUAGAGGUGAAAUUCUUGGAUCGUCGCAAGACGGACAGAAGCGAAAGCAUUUGCCAAAAACGCUUUCA